rnacentral:rRNA from 1 species
UACGUAGGCAGCAAGCGUUGUUCGGAGUUACUGGGCGUAAAGGGUGUGUAGGCGGUUCUUUAAGUUUGGUGUGAAAUCUCCCGGCUCAACUGGGAGGGUGCGCCGAAUACUGAGGGACUAGAGUACGGGAGAGGAAAGUGGAAUUCCUGGUGUAGCGGUGAAAUGCGUAGAUAUCAGGAGGAACACCGGUGGUGUAGACGGCUUCUGGACCGUAACUGACGCUGAGACACGAAAGCGUGGGUAGCAAACAGG